UACGUAGGUGGCAAGCGUUGUCCGGAUUUACUGGGCGUAAAGAGCGCGCAGGCGGUCAGAUAAGUCGAAUGUGAAAGCCCCCGGCUCAACUGGGGAGGGUCAUUCGAUACUGUUCGACUCGAAGGCAGGAGAGGGAAGUGGAAUUCCCGGUGUAGUGGUGAAAUGCGUAGAUAUCGGGAGGAACACCAGUGGCGAAGGCGACUACCUGGCCUGUUCUUGACGCUGAGGCGCGAAAGCUAGGGGAGCAAACGGG
rnacentral:rRNA from 1 species